CUUCCUCAGCCUUACUCCAGGGCAGUUUUGUCUGUAAAGUGUCCUGGCAUUGCCUGAGGAUAAAUGAGAAAGCACAAAUCCCUCCCCAAGAAGAUUCGAACUUCUUCUGGGGCCUACAGAUUGAGCUGACAGU
rnacentral:snoRNA from 13 species